UGAUAACCGAGACGCAAAAGUUACGGAGGGAAAGAUCUGACCUUCAUAGGGGUCAAGAGGUGUUACUUCGGAUGUCUCGACGUUAGUCUCGUCAAAUGGACCAAGUUGCAGGUCGUAUGGAUGCCAUUCUGGAUUAUUCAACCAAAUUCAACUCCACGCUCUCAAAUAUGUUCAACACUCCGAGAGUUAGCUUCGGUCAAGGUCUUUUCCAGUUCCCCACACCUCUAGUAUUUCCUAAAUUUACGUUUGAUAUGGAAGAGGGAGACGAGGAUGACAAGGAUAAUGGAGAAGAUGAUGUUUGAUACCCUAGGGAAAUCCUUUUGUUUUAAUUAGUCUUCUUAUUUAUGUUGAAAUUGAGGACAAUGUAAUUUUUAAGUUUGGGGGUAUUUUAUUUAUUGUUAGGUAAUUGGUACUUCAGAUAUUUUUUUUAUGUUAUUAAGUCAUUGUCACAUUUUAAUAGUUAGCAAUAAGUGC
rnacentral:lncRNA from 1 species